UACCUGCAGCCCGAGUGGUGGCCGUUAUUAUUGGGCCUAAACCGUCCGUAGCCGGCUGAGUAGAUGCCUGUGUAAAUCGAACGGCUUAACCGUUCGAACUGCGGGUAGACCGCUCAGCUUGGGACCGGGAGAGUCACGAAGUACUCCGGGGGUAGAGGUGAAAUUCUGUAAUCCUCGGGGGACUACCGGUGGCGAAGGCGUCGUGAUAGAACGGCUCCGACGGUGAGGGACGAAGCCCUGGGGCGCAAACCGG
rnacentral:rRNA from 1 species